CCAGGCGGCCGCCUGCAGGGCCCUGCAAGCCGCCGGGCCCGCGCGACCAGCGGAAGGAGCCUGGGGGAGACCGGGCCUCCCGGCACUGCUGGCCUGCUUUUCCUGGGGUCCUCGGAGCCGGGGGAAGGACCCGGAUGCCACCUCCCCCAGUGGCCCAACUCAGGAUAGCUCCCAGGACCCUGAGGAGGAGGUGGCGCUGACAGCCAUAUUUCCCAACGGAGACUGUGAGGAUCCUGAAAAGGGCUCAAGAGCCUGUGAUGGAGCUGUCCACACUCCCGCUGAGCCUGCCGGAGACUCAAGAUGAAGGCUGGACCCCUGGGCUGCCCUGGCUCUAACCUACAGACUAGGGGCUGGCUCCUUCUCACUGAACCCCCAUGCCUCUAUGUUGACCUUGGGAUG